CCCCGUCCUUAGUUGCUACCAUUUAGUUGAGCACUCUAAGGAGACUGCCGGUGAUAAGCCGCGAGGAAGGUGGGGAUGACGUCAAGUCCUCAUGGCCCUUACGGGCUGGGCUACACACGUGCUACAAUGGCGGUGACAAUGGGAAGCGAAAGGGCAACCUCUAGCAAAUCUCAAAAAGCCGUCUCAGUUCGGAUUGGGCUCUGCAACUCGAGCCCAUGAAGUUGGAAUCGCUAGUAAUCGUGGAUCAACAUGCCACGGUGAAUACGUUCCCGGGCCUUGUACACACCGCCCGUCACACCAUGGGAGUUGGUUUUACCUGAAGACGGUGCGCUAACCGCAAGGACGCACCCUGCUACGGUAGGGUCUAGCGAGUGGGGUGAAGUCGUAACUAGGUAGCCGUAGGGGAACCUGCAGGACGGGG
rnacentral:rRNA from 1 species